rnacentral:lncRNA from 1 species
GUCUAAAUUAUCUUUAAUUCUCAAGGUAAUACAACACUGGUAAUCAAUUUAUGAGAAAAACAAGUGAAAUACCAUGUAUUUUGUGAUUUGAAAUAAAGUAACUUUAGAUCUGAUUCAGAAUUUGGAACAAGUAGUCAGGGAGAACACUCCCAAAACUUAAACCAGUUUACAGAGUGAUUUUAUUUUCAGGUGAAUGGCUUAGGAAGCACAGGAGAAAUAACUCAAAAGUUUUAACAACCACCAAGUACAGAAGUUGCUUUUAAACUCUUAAAAAAACAAAUUUUACUGACAGUGAGGUAGUUCCAGGUCAUCUGUUUACAUUUCAUCUCUAAUACAUUUUUCUUAGUACAACUGGCUUUGAAACUCAAAUGCAGUUUCAAAAAUAUACAAUCCUAGACUAAUCCAAAGUCUGGAUUUUAUGGCUGCACUUUUCCAUUAAUCAACAAGCUUCCCAGUGAUGCCUGUGAAAGCUGGUGGCUGUUACCACAUAUCACUAGAAAAAAAAUAAAAUACCAACCCUUUGAUCUGAUAAAUUUUCUAUUUUAUAGUCAGUAAUAAGUUAAGAAUGUAUGAAGAAACAUUUUAUACAAGCUUUCCUAAUAUUUCUAAGGUUACCUUCCAUCAUAAGUU